rnacentral:rRNA from 1 species
ACGCUCGACACCUACGGGAGGUAGCAGUGGGGAAUAUUGCACAAUGGAGGAAACUCUGAUGCAGCGACGCCGCGUGAGCGAAGAAGUAUUUCGGUAUGUAGAGCUCUAUCAGCAGGGAAGAAAAAGGACGGUACCUGACUAAGAAGCUCCGGCUAAAUACGUGCCAGCAGCCACGGUAAUCUGAGCGGGCUGGCAAGGC